GGCGCGGUGGGUAGACUCUGUCAUCUCCCCUGCGGGGAGACUCUCGUUCAGUCGAAUCAAUGUUCUGCUUCUUUGGAAGACUCUCUUGUAGGUCCCCUUCAGCUACUGGAAGGUGCUACAAAGUCCCACUGGAGCCUGUUCCAGGCUGAACAAUCCCAACUCUCUGUCUGUCUCCACAGUAGAAGUGCUCCAGCCCUUUAACCAUCUUUGUGGUCCCAAGGUUAUUUUGGCUUAUAACCUGCUCCUGAUGCCUUCCUUCAUUCCUGAGAACCAUGAAAGCAGCCAGUGUCUAAGUCUGUGCUUGGUUCCUGUGCCGUUGUAAUCACUCAUGACCCUACUCCUUUGCCAAAACAUUACUUUAAGAAGAAGGGAGAAGAAAGAAAUAUCAGGGUUUUCUCUAGUGAAUUCCUGUGACUCCGUCCUUCAGAUGCUGAUAUACGAAUACAAUAUACUGCGCAGAUUUUGAAAAGAGAUGGCCUUCAGCUUGUGAUAAAUCUGUUUGGAAACAAUGCAUAGAUAGCUUCAAAGGGAAAAUGAAGAAUGGGAAAAGGCAAGCACUUCUCCAUAACCUGUACAGCCCAAGAGAGGAAGUUAUGACCACUUGCAGCACCAGAACAAAAAUACCAUGCAGACAUGAUUGUAGGCCUGCAAGGGAUCAGCCAAAGUAUGCACAGGCCUCAGAAAAAUACGGUUUUGUAGUGUUUCAUAUGAGCAACUACGUCCUGGCAGCAUGCUGCAGAGCACAGCACAGAGACUGGAAUGCAUCAGCUGCAUCAGAUACGAGCUCUGUGGAUGCAAGGUGCCCUGCACAGCCCAUCAAUAUGUCAGCACAUGCUCCUGUGCCUCUGCUGUCACGAUUUUUCCAUCACCCUGAGCACCUGAGCCCCACAUUUCAGCUACAAGCUGACAGUGUCCCUGUUCUUGCAAUUUAUGGCUCUUGCCAGCACGUGGCACAAGAGGCUGAGUGGACUGCUUGCACUGCCCAAACUGAAAUGGACUGACUUCCUAAAAUGUCUGUACAGCUGCCACCAAGUCUGUACUUCAACACCAUGAGGGUUGUAUUCCAUAAGGAGGGAAGGUUCUCCAGAUUUCUUAUGGCACAGUAGUGGUGUUUCUUUUACACACACACAAAUUAUUGCAUGUGGAUCAGACUGUGUCUGGGUAGUAGAAGGUGCAAGGAAAAGGGUACUGAAAUGCCACUUCUCCAGGCAACAGAGUGAUAGAGUAACUUGUGCUCAUGUCAAAACGAGUAAUUAUCAAAAAUCAAAAUCUCAUGCACAGAAAUGGCACCUUUCCUGCAAUUAAACAGGAAGAGUUGGUGAAGUAUUGAAUAAGGACUCCUAAAUGUAUAAAUGCAUUAAUACAGCUGGGCAUGCAACUGUGAGAGACUGGAGGAGAUUGCUGACUUGAAACAUUUUGUUUGCGUGUGUGUGAGGGGAAGGGGCAGGUUGGGCCUUGUUUUGGUGAGGCAAUGCCCUGCCCCACACACCCCACAUCCCUGGGCCUGUAUCCCAGCCUGGAAGUGGCCAUCAAUCCCUAGCACACCGGAGGCAAUGCUCCACAUCUGACUCUGGAGCCCCCAUCUAGGUCCACAGGGGCCAAGAUAAGGGAAAAAGAGGAAAGAAAGCAAAAUGAGAGCUUGAACAAGAGACAUAAAGGAAAAUGCAAAAGUGUUCUGAUAUGGACAAAGUUUUCAGUUUUCGAGCUAGAUUUGGUGGUUAGUGAUAACACAGCUCACAUCAAGAACUUACAAUAGAGAGGGAGGAAGAGAAGUCAUGAAAAGCCAAGAAGCUGAGAUUCUGUCUAAUGAAGAAGGCAAAUCAAGGAAGUUACACACCUUCUAAUACUGCCUCCAGUAGUAUCCCUCAAUGAUGCUAGUAUUUUUGGUUAUUUUUUGUAUAUACAUUUUAUUGUACAUUUUUACUUCAUUGUGUAUCAUUUACUAAAUAUAUUAACUUUUAUGUGUAAUGGGUAAGCAUCAAAAUUAAGUUUACAAAAUGCUAUUUCUGAACAUUUACACAAAGAUUUCAUAUGAAAAGUUUUCCAGCUAUGCAUGGGUUUUUUGCUGUUAUGUGAAAUCUGAGAAAGUACAGAAAAAUAUCUAUUUCAAUUUUAGUAAUAAUAAUCCAAGAAUUAAUUUACUAAUUUCUAAAUUAAAAGAUAUUUUGAAAAUAUAGAAAAACAUAUUUUUUCUCUUUAAUUACAUACAGGUGUUCUGUACUUUGAGGAUAUUCACCUCCUUUGUAUUUACCUUUUAUCAAACAGUUAAGAUUACAAUGCUCACAAUUAAGAACUGCUAUCAAAGAUGUGUUAAGCAGAACAAUAAUCUAAAUAAAUAUUGCUCAAGUAGCUUUUCACAUGUAUCAGACUGCAGCAAUGAAGGGGAAGGAAAUAUAUUUUAAUUUGUAAGUGGUGAGCAUUUGUGAACAAAUAGUUCUUGUUCUGUUAUAUUUUUAUGUACUUGUAUAACUACAUGCCAGCUACAGAAAUAUUAAUGUGUAAUACCAGUACUAUCACAAACAAGGUUAUCAGUAAUUGCAUCAAUCGGUAUUGAAUAUUUUAAUAGGUAAUGUGCACUUUAAUGCUACUGUAAGUGUUUACGUCAGGGCUGUUUAUUUCUCUUUCACUACAAGAAUAAGCUGUAUUGAUAUGUAUUAUCUUCUCAUAGUGACUUUAUCUAUGAUGGUGGGUUUGUACCCCUUUAACUGUGUCAGUACCUAAGUCUGUGCCAUAAAACAAACUAACCAGUAACAUGUUUGUCAUGAAUCAUAAUUAAAUUCAAAGUACUGAUAAACUUGUAGUGAGAUAAAUUCAUGUCUAAUUAGAAGAACAGAUAAUUGCACAUGAUCUGGUGCACUUUGGGGAUUUUCUCUGUGCUUUGUGUAAGAUUCCUUUCAGU